AUGGAAGCAAUUCUGUCUGCGGCUACAGGUGACCUUGUUAGCAGAUUUUUCUCCUUUCUGAUAAGCAGAUAUUCGGGACUCGUAUGCUCAGAGGGGAAGCAUGUGGAUGUGGAGAGGUUGCAGCAACUCCUGCUAAGAGCUCAGAUGGUUGUCGAGGAAGCAGAUGGGCGGUACAUCACCAACUCUGGUAUGCUUCUACAACUCAAGAUGCUAGCUAGGGCUAUGUACCAUGGUUAUCAUGCUCUAGACACUUUCAAGUGCAACCAACUAAUCAACAAAGAGGGCUCUACGGAAGUGAUGAGUACUGGCUCAUUUAUGUCAUAUCUUGGCACUCCCCUCAAGCGCUUCCGUACACACGCUGGUAUAUCGGAUCACAAAGUUUGUAACAAGCAGGACCUACAAGGUGCCUUACUGAAUUUAGAGACGGUCAUCUCUAAUAUUACAGAGUUUGUUAUACUUUUGGGCGGGUGCAAACCCAUGUUUCGCAGACCCUAUGACACAUACCUUUACGUCAACAACUUCAUGUUCGGUCGUUUGACAGAGAAGCAACAAGCCAUCAACUUCUUGUUAGAACGCAACCAUCUUGGUUCUCCAUCUGUGCUUGCCAUUAUCGGUGGCUACCGAGUCGGGAAGAAAACUUUGGUCGCACAUGUAUGCAAUGAUGAGAACGUUCGUAGUCACUUCUCUUCAAUUUUGCAGCUUAGUGCAGACAACUUCUCUAGGAUAGACAAUGAAAGGGGCACAUCAGGGAGAGCAUUGGUUAUUGUUGAAUUUCUUUCAGAUGUUGAUGAUGGGGAGUGGGAACCUUUUUACCGGGCAGUGACAUCCACAAGCAUAGAAAGUAAGGUUAUAAUCAUAAGUAGGAUGGAAAGCUUGACGAGAUAUGGUACUGUGAAGCCAAUCCACCUAAGUAAAUUAUCAGAUGAGGAGUACAUCUACCUCUUCAAGACACUAGCAUUUGGAAGUGCACACAGUGAGGACUAUCCAAAGCUGACACUGUUGGCAGGAGAAUUCAUCAAAUUGUUGGAUGGGUCAUUUGUGGCAGCAUAUUCAGUUGCCAAUGGGUUGAGGACGAAUCUAAGCCUUCGAUACUGGAUUUGUAUGUUUAAGAGAUACAAGAAUGUGACAAAGAAAAACUUGUCCAUGUUUGGUGAGCAUAUUGCAGACCGUUUCAAAAGAAAUUGUCCAGUCGACUUCACCAACUUUCUUCCUUCUCCCGCUGCUCCGCUAUACCUUAUGCCUCCUCAGACUGAAGCUGAGGUUCCCGAAAGGAGACUGCCCAAGAUUAAGAUUAGAGACAUCAUUGAUAAUCCCUCUGUUCGUCCCAAGGGUGACUUUGUAUUAGUGACAUGGGAAUCUAGGAUACCCCCAUAUAAUGAGUACAGUUACUAUGUCCCAUCUUGUGCUCAGUCGCAACCUAAAACAACCAUGAGGAGGAAGCGUGAAGCAACUAUUUCUCUCUAG
rnacentral:rRNA from 1 species